CCUUCCACCAUGACAAUACCCACCCCUCGAGAUGAUCCUUGUCCCCAAGGAUCAAAAGAAGGAAACUGUCCGCGGAGAACAGAGUAAUCCUCCCAAGUAUCGUUCGACUCGUCGAGGAGGAUCUGUCAAGGCUGUUACUGUAGAGCCAAUAUGCUUCUUCAACAGACUGACAUGGAAGACAGGGUGUAAUCGAGACGCUUCUGAUUCCUCCUCAGUGCAAGGGAUGUUUGACGAUACGGCUGCAGUUUGAGAUACUGGACUAGCUGACUUGGGCUGCCUUCAUUCUUCUUGGGCCGGCUCCAUCAUCUGAUAUGAAUCA